rnacentral:rRNA from 1 species
GUGGGGAAUAUUGGGCAAUGGGGGCAACCCUGACCCAGCAACGCCGCGUGAGGGAAGAAGGUUUUCGGAUUGUAAACCUCUGUCCUAUGGGAAGAAGGAAGUGACGGUACCAUAGGAGGAAGCCCCGGCUAACUACGUGCCAGCAGCCGCGGUAAUACGUAGGGGGCGAGCGUUGUCCGGAAUUACUGGGCGUAAAGGGUGCGCAGGUGGCCUGACAAGUCAGAUGUGAAAUACCGAUGCUUAACGUCGGGGCUGCAUUUGAAACUAUGAGGCUGGAGUGCAGGAGAGGGAAGCGGAAUUCCUAGUGUAGCGGUGAAAUGCAUAGAUAUUAGGAGGAACACCAGUGGCGAAGGCGGCUUUCUGGACUGUAACUGACACUGAGGCACGAAAGCGUGGGGAGCAAACAGGAUUAGAAACCCUUGUAGUCC